AAUCUUCUCUCAAGUGAGAACAGAAUCAAAACUCUCCUGUGACUGGGUUUUUCUCUCCAUCUUAUGGUCCCCUGUCCCACCUACCCCACUUUCUGAAGCCUGACAUUUAACAGGGACCACCACCCAGGUGAGAAGGAUGCCACCAUGGCCGUCAGGAUUCACGAGAGAGAGAUGCUGAGUGUUCUGGACACAUUUCUUUUUUCUCCUCCAAGAAAGAAGGUUUGAAUACAGGGCUGUCCUCUUUGUCAUCUCCCAUGGCCCUCUUUUGGGCCGACCAAGGCCAGGGUCGGAGCAGUCUGACAGCUGUGGGUGCAGCUGGGGGACAGGCACUCA
rnacentral:lncRNA from 1 species